GACGAACGCUGGCGGCGUGCCUAAUACAUGCAAGUUGAGCGCUGAAGGUUGGUACUUGUACCAACUGGAUGAGCAGCGAACGGGUGAGUAACGCGUGGGGAAUCUGCCUUUGAGCGGGGGACAACAUUUGGAAACGAAUGCUAAUACCGCAUAAAAACUUUAAACACAAGUUUUAAGUUUGAAAGAUGCAAUUGCAUCACUCAAAGAUGAUCCCGCGUUGUAUUAGCUAGUUGGUGAGGUAAAGGCUCACCAAGGCGAUGAUACAUAGCCGACCUGAGAGGGUGAUCGGCCACAUUGGGACUGAGACACGGCCCAAACUCCUACGGGAGGCAGCAGUAGGGAAUCUUCGGCAAUGGACGAAAGACUGACCGAGCAACGCCGCGUGAGUGAAGAAGGUUUUCGGAUCGUAAAACUCUGUUGGUAGAGAAGAACGUUGGUGAGAGUGGAAAGCUCAUCAAGUGACGGUAACUACCCAGAAAGGGACGGCUAACUACGUG
rnacentral:rRNA from 1 species